rnacentral:rRNA from 1 species
AGAUGCAAUACCGCGAGGUGGAGCCAAACUUAAAAACCAGUCUCAGUUCGGAUUGUAGGCUGAAACUCGCCUACAUGAAGCUGGAGUUACUAGUAAUCGCGAAUCAGAAUGUCGCGGUGAAUACGUUCCCGGGUCUUGUACACACCGCCCGUCACACCAUGAGAGUUGGCAAUACCCGAAGUCCGUGAGCUAACCGCAAGGAGGCAGCGGCCGAAGGUAGGGUCAGCGAUUGGGGUGAAGUCGUAACAAGGUAGCCGUAGGAGAACCUGCGGCUGGAUCACCUCCUUUCUAAGGAA